rnacentral:misc_RNA from 1 species
UGACGACAAUAUACUCGACUUCACCGAGGGGGAACUAAUUGACGAAUCGGAUGGCAAUAAAUACGAAGAAGAUGAGAAAGACGAAACAAAAGCUAAAAGAUUAAAGGUCACUGAAGUUUUUGAAAAAAACAAAAUAAUGUUCAUAAUAUGAACUUGAACAACACAAGAGACAGUAUAGCUGACCGUAUAAAUGAUGAAGAAGCGCUAGCAUUCAGGAG